rnacentral:rRNA from 1 species
AAGUCGAAACGAUGAAGCCCAGCUUGCUGGGGUGGAAAGAGUGGCGAACGGGUGAGUAACACGUGAGUAACCUGCCCUGAACUCUGGGAUAAGCACUGGAAACGGUGUCUAAUACUGGAUACGACCUAUCACCGCAUGGUGUGUGGGUGGAAAGAUUUAUCGGUUUUGGAUGGACUCGCGGCCUAUCAGCUAGAUGGUGAGGUAAUGGCUCACCAUGGCGACGACGGGUAGCCGGCCUGAGAGGGUGACCGGCCACACUGGGACUGAGACACGGCCCAGACUCCUACGGGAGGCAGCAGUGGGGAAUAUUGCACAAUGGGCGCAAGCCUGAUGCAGCAACGCCGCGUGAGGGAUGACGGCCUUCGGGUUGUAAACCUCUUUUAGUAGGGAAGAAGCGAAAGUGACGGUACCUGCAGAAAAAGCACCGGCUAACUACGUGCCAGCAGCCGCGGUAAUACGUAGGGUGCAAGCGUUGUCCGGAAUUAUUGGGCGUAAAGAGCUCGUAGGCGGCUUGUCGCGUCUGCUGUGAAAUCCCGGGGCUCAACCCCGGGCCUGCAGUGGGUACGGGCAAGCUAGAGUGCGGUAGGGGAGAUUGGAAUUCCUGGUGUAGCGGUGGAAUGCGCAGAUAUCAGGAGGAACACCGAUGGCGAAGGCAGAUCUCUGGGCCGCUACUGACGCUGAGGAGCGAAAGCAUGGGGAGCGAACAGGAUUAGAUACCCUGGUAGUCCAUGCCGUAAACGUUGGGAACUAGAUGUAGGGCCUGUUCCACGGGUUCUGUGUCGUAGCUAACGCAUUAAGUUCCCCGCCUGGGGAGUACGGCCGCAAGGCUAAAACUCAAAGGAAUUGACGGGGGCCCGCACAAGCGGCGGAGCAUGCGGAUUAAUUCGAUGCAACGCGAAGAACCUUACCAAGGCUUGACAUAGCCGAGAACGCUGUAGAGAUACAGAACUCUUUGGACACUCGGUUACAGGUGGUGCAUGGUGUC